rnacentral:rRNA from 1 species
AACACGUGGGCAACCUGCCCUUGGGAUCGGGAUAACCUCGCGAAAGUGGGGCUAAUACCGGAUAAGACCACACUGUCUAUGGCAGAGUGGGAAAAGAUGGCCUCUUCUUGAAAGCUAUCACCUGGGGAUGGGCCCGCGGCCUAUUAGCUUGUUGGUGAGGUAACGGCUCACCAAGGCGACGAUGGGUAUCCGGCCUGAGAGGGUGAACGGACACACUGGCACUGAGACACGGGCCAG